rnacentral:lncRNA from 1 species
GACUGCGAUUGAUGACUGACAUGGUUGGAACAUCUGCAUCGGUCUAAUGAGGUUCAAUUGCAAAGCUACUAAGGGUGCGAGUUCGACUGCUGGGUGUUUUGUAAUGCGGUAAGCUUUUCUUGGAGCUGCAGUUCAAAUUAACUAGUUCAUUUCCUCUGUCGCGGACCCGCGCUUAUUGCAGAACAGCUUGUCUAGCGUAAUUACUCGGAGUAAACAAGUAGAGUGCUGGAGAAUGCUUGCCCAGUAUACACGCGGCGAUACAUCAUUAAAGACAUGAUGUGUGUGAGGAUAAUAAAUAGGUCAUAAUUUGUAGGUAGGUAGACAAAAAAACAAAUUUGUACAGGUCACAGAUGAAUGUGUAAAUGUGACAUUCUUCUCGAGAGGAAAAAGAGGAUGGUGACUUCCGCGUUAUUUACUAUAUAUAUAGAUAGAUAUAUAUAUAUAUAUAUAUAUAUAUAUGUACAUAUAUAUAUAUAUAUAUAUAUUUAAGAUCAGUUUACAAUCCAAGAGUUUUAACAUGGUUGGAAGGGCACCACAGAAAAGGAUAUAAUUUCUCUUUCCAACACGAAAGAAUAAGCUACCUAGACUCAUUGCAAUGAUGGAUGCCAGUGA